GCAUCCCUCAGAGCUGAGAGCGCGCGAGCAGCACCACUGUCAAGUUAAAAUAGAAAAACCACACGACUUCCUGUACGCUUUUUCUAAAUAAGACGGCAAUAAUACCCCGACUGAGCAAGAAGCAUAGCACCCCAGGUAGAGGUGAACUGCCAAACCAAUCUGGAACAUGAAGAUUGCCUCUCUCUUGAGAUGAUCCUGGCCAGUCCCAGUAGGAGGGAAUAGCGAGGAAGGAAGCCGGUUCUAAUACACUGUCCCCAUCUUUCCUCUCCAUGCAGGUUGUUGGUGAGCUUGAGAGUAUCGAAAGAAACAGUCUGCUUCAUCCACUGGGCUCCACAGGCAGGGAUAAAGUCCAUGAGCAAGACAUAUUCAGCAGCAGGAUCCAUCCCUGAGAUUUGCACCUGGAAUGUUGGAAACAUCCUCCUGCAAUUUGUGGACAUGUAAAUAAACAUAAUGCAUUAAGAGACA